rnacentral:rRNA from 1 species
GACGAACGCUGGCGGCGUGCUUAACACAUGCAAGUCGAACGCUGAAGACCUGGCUUUUGUUGGGUUGGAUGAGUGGCGAACGGGUGAGUAACACGUGAGUAACCUGCCCUCUUCUUUGGGAUAACGCCCGGAAACGGGUGCUAAUACUGGAUAUUCACUGAUCUUCGCAUGGGGGUUGGUGGAAAGGUUUGUUCUGGUGGGGGAUGGGCUCGCGGCCUAUCAGCUUGUUGGUGGGGUGAUGGCCUCCCAAGGCUUUGUCGGGUAGCCGGCCUGAGAGGGUGACCGGUCACAUUGGGACUGAGAUACGGCCCAGACUCCUACGGGAGGCAGCAGUGGGGAAUAUUGCACAAUGGGCGAAAGCCUGAUGCAGCGACGCCGCGUGAGGGAUGGAGGCCUUCGGGUUGUAAACCUCUUUCGCUCAUGGUCAAGCCGCAACUGUGGGUUGUGGUGAGGGUAGUGGGUAAAGAAGCGCCGGCUAACUACGUG